ACGUAGGGGCCGAGCGUUGUCCGGAGUUAUUGGGCGUAAAGCGCGCGCAGGCGGCCUCGCGCGCCCGACGUGAAAGCCCCCGGCUUAACCGGGGAGGGUCGUUGGGGACGGCGGGGCUUGAGGGCGGGAGAGGUCGGUGGAAUUCCCGGUGUAGUGGUGAAAUGCGUAGAGAUCGGGAGGAACACCUGUGGCGAAGGCGGCCGACUGGGCCGACCCUGACGCUGAGGCGCGAAGGCGUGGGGAGCGAACGGGA
rnacentral:rRNA from 1 species